rnacentral:rRNA from 1 species
AUUGAACGCUGGCGGCAUGCCUUACACAUGCAAGUCGAACGGCAGCGCGGGAGCAAUCCUGGCGGCGAGUGGCGAACGGGUGAGUAAUAUAUCGGAACGUGCCCAGUAGCGGGGGAUAACGCAGCGAAAGUUGUGCUAAUACCGCAUACGCACUACGGUGGAAAGAGGGGGAUCGCAAGACCUCUCACUAUUGGAGCGGCCGAUAUCAGAUUAGCUUGUUGGCGGGGUAAAAGCCCACCAAGGCGACGAUCUGUAGCUGGUUUGAGAGAACGACCAGCCACACUGGGACUGAGACACGGCCCAGACUCCUACGGGAGGCAGCAGUGGGGAAUUUUGGACAAUGGGCGCAAGCCUGAUCCAGCCAUGCCGCGUGCGGGAAGAAGGCCUUCGGGUUGUAAACCGCUUUUGUUCGGGAAGAAAUUGACUGGGCUAAUACCCCGGUUAGAUGACGGUACCGGAAGAAUAAGCACCGGCUAACUACGUGCCAGCCGCCGCAGUAACAC